rnacentral:rRNA from 1 species
AGAGUUUGAUCCUGGCUCAGGACGAACGCUGGCGGCGUGCCUAACACAUGCAAGUCACGGGGGGUAGCAAUACCAACCGGCGAACGGGUGCGGAACACGUGAGCAAUCUGCCGAUUACUGGGGGAUAGCCGGGCCAACGCCCGGGUAAUACCGCAUACGCUCAUGAGGGGACAUCCCCUUAUGAGGAAACCUCCGGGGGUAAUCGAGGAGCUCGCGUCUUAUCAGCUAGUUGGUGAGGUAACGGCUCACCAAGGCUACGACGGGUAGCUGGUCUGAGAGGAUGGCCAGCCACAUUGGGACUGCGACACGGCCCAGACUCCUACGGGAGGCAGCAGUGGGGAAUAUUGCGCAAUGGACGAAAGUCUGACGCAGCGACGCCGCGUGUGGGAUGAAGCUCUUCGGGGUGUAAACCACUGUUGCCCGGGACGAAUCUCUGGUUUUAACCAGAUUGACGGUACCGGGUGAGGAAGCACCGGCUAACUCUGUGCCAGCAGCCGCGGUAAUACAGAGGGUGCGAGCGUUGUCCGGAAUCACUGGGCGUAAAGGGCGCGUAGGUGGCUCGUUAAGCGUGUGGUGAAAGCCUGGGGCUCAACCCCAGGUCUGCCGUGCGAACUGGCGAGCUUGAGCAGAGUAGAGGCGGGUGGAAUUUCGGGUGUAGCGGUGGAAUGCGUAGAUAUCCGAAAGAACACCGGUGGCGAAGGCGGCCCGCUGGGCUCUUGCUGACACUGAUGCGCGACAGCGUGGGGAGCAAACAGGAUUAGAUACCCUGGUAGUCCACGCCGUAAACGAUGGUACUAGGCGUCUGGGGGAGCGACCCCCUGGGUGCCGGCGCUAACGCAUGAAGUACCCCGCCUGGGGAGUACGGCCGCAAGGCUGAAACUCAAAGGAAUUGACGGGGGCCCGCACAAGCGGUGGAGCAUGUGGUUUAAUUCGACGCAACGCGAAGAACCUUACCUGGGUUUGACAUGCUGGAGAAAGCCCCCAGAAACGGGGGCCCCUCUUCGGAGUUCCAGCACAGAUGCUGCAUGGCUGUCGUCAGCUCGUGUCGUGAGAUGUUGGGUUAAGUCCCGCAACGAGCGCAACCCUCAUCCCUAGUUACCAGCGGGUAAAGCCGGGAACUCUAGGGGGACUGCCGGUGCCAAACCGGACGAAGGUGGGGACGACGUCAAGUCAUCAUGGCUCUUACAUCCAGGGCUACACACGUGCUACAAUGGGCCAGACAAAGGGCUGCCAACCCGCGAGGGGGAGCCAAUCCCAUAAACUGGUCCUCAGUUCGGAUUGCAGUCUGCAACUCGACUGCAUGAAGCUGGAAUCGCUAGUAAUCGUGGAUCAGCUACGCCACGGUGAAUACGUUCCCGGGCCUUGUACACACCGCCCGUCACGCCAUGGAAGCUGUGAGUGCCCGAAGUCCGUGCAGGAACCCGCAAGGGGCCGAGCGGCCGAAGGCAAGCGCAGUGACUGGGGCGAAGUCGUAACAAGGUA